rnacentral:rRNA from 1 species
UACGUAGGGUGCAAGCGUUAAUCGGAAUUACUGGGCGUAAAGCGUGCGCAGGCGGUUUUGUAAGUCUGUCGUGAAAGCCCCGGGCUCAACCUGGGAAUUGCGAUGGAGACUGCAAGGCUUGAGUCUGGCAGAGGGGGGUAGAAUUCCACGUGUAGCAGUGAAAUGCGUAGAGAUGUGGAGGAACACCGAUGGCGAAGGCAGCCCCCUGGGUCAAGAUUGACGCUCAUGCACGAAAGCGUGGGGAGCAAACAGG